GGUUCAGGAUGAACGCUAGCGACAGGCUAACACAUGCAAGUCGAGGGGCAUCACGGGAGUAGCAAUACAACUGGUGGCGACCGGCGCACGGGUGAGUAACGCGUAUGCAACCUACCUAUCAGAGGGGAAUAACCCGGCGAAAGUCGGACUAAUACCGCAUAAAACAGGGGCACCGCAUGGUGAUAUUUGUUAAAGAAAUUCGCUGAUAGAUGGGCAUGCGUUCCAUUAGGUAGUUGGUGAGGUAACGGCUCACCAAGCCGACGAUGGAUAGGGGAACUGAGAGGUUGGUCCCCCACACUGGUACUGAGACACGGACCAGACUCCUACGGGAGGCAGCAGUGAGGAAUAUUGGUCAAUGGGCGGGAGCCUGAACCAGCCAAGUCCGCGUGAAGGAAGAAGGAUCUAUGGUUCGUAAACUUCUUUUGCAGGGGAAUAAAGUGCAGGACGUGUCCUGUUUUGUAUGUACCCUGAGAAUAAGGAUCGGCUAACUCCGUGCCAGCCGCCGC
rnacentral:rRNA from 1 species